GAAUAUCAAAUAGACAGAUACCAAAAACAUUCUAAACUUAGUUAACCUAUUAGAUACAAACCAGAAACAUUAGAGCAGAAAAUUCCACAAAACAGCAUGUGUAAGCAGACAAAACUAGGUAAUAACAAGACUAUCGAACAGUUUAGUCCACUUGAAUUGUACCCAAGGAACUAUACCCAUGAACUCAAAAGAGUUCAAUUUCAAUUAUUUACCACGGAAACAUACAAUAUCCAGGCAUUAGCUGUGUAAAACGGAAAAUACUAAUACUAUUAUACAGGUUAAGAGAGAGAAAUAAAACUAACUAAUUAAUUACCUAACAUGUUAACCAAUUAUUAAAGUGAAGCUCUAGGAACUUCUGAUAUGAUAGUUUAAAAAAUACAUAUCAAAAAUUUCAAUUCCAGGCCAAUCAAUACGAACUAACUAAAUUUAACAAAUAAGAGAAGACGAUGGAUUCAAGGAAUUUUAAGGAAAAAUACAAUAUUUUUGCUUCAUCACAAUGCCAAUACUCAAGCAUUCAAGUAGAAGGAAAAUAAGAAAGCAAAAAUAAAGAAAAAAAUCAUGAUCCAAAUAAACCACUCAAAUAAAGAAGCAAAAUAAAAGGAAAAAAAAAUUAAUAGAGGGAGUGAAAAAGACCAGAGCAACAGAGGAGACAAGGGCAUAAGCAGCACA
rnacentral:misc_RNA from 1 species